rnacentral:rRNA from 1 species
AACGAACGCUGGCGGCAGGCUUAACACAUGCAAGUCGAGCGCCCCGCAAGGGGAGCGGCAGACGGGUGAGUGACGCGUGGGAAUCUACCCAUCUCUACGGAAUAACGCAUGGAAACGUGUGCUAAUACCGUAUACGUCCUUCGGGAGAAAGAUUUUUCGGAGAUGGAUGAGCCCGCGUUGGAUUAGCUAGUUGGUGGGGUAAAGGCCUACCAAGGCGACGAUCCAUAGCUGGUCUGAGAGGAUGAUCAGCCACACUGGGACUGAGACACGGCCCAGACUCCUACGGGAGGCAGCAGUGGGGAAUAUUGGACAAUGGGCGCAAGCUUGAUCCAGCCAUGCCGCGUGAGUGAUGAAGGCCCUAGGGUUGUAAAGCUCUUUCACCGGUGAAGAUAAUGACGGUAACCGGAGAAGAAGCCCCGGCUAACUUCGUGCCAGCCGCCGCCGUAACAC